AUACAAUCAAAUCCUAGUAAUUACACAUGUAAAUACACUUGAGUACCAGGCCUUUACUUACAAGCUGUUAGAACUUAGAAUCUAAUUGUCUGUGCAUAGUUUCAAAGCAAAAAUGAUAUAUGAGCCAAAUGAUGAAGGUCUGAGAAUACAUAAUGAAAUUCAUCUUAUGAAGCUAGUAGAAUAAAUUCAUGAGGCAAGGUGAGUAUAUUUCAUAUAAGCAGACCUUGUUUGGGAAUAUGCCCUGAAGGCAGAGCAGUGGGGGGUCCUGGGGUACAUUGAGGCCUUCACUGUUUUUAGGUGCACGUUUUAAUCUCUUUGUGUAUAGGCUAUGCAUGUGUUUAUUGUGUGAGUGGCACACGUCCAUGCCAUGUGUGCAUGUGGAAAUGAGGACAGCUUUGGGUAUCGGUCCUCGUCUUUCAUUUGAGAUGGGGUCUCUUAACUGUCACUCUGCACACAUCAGGCUCGCCGGCCUGCAGUCUUCCCAGGAUUCUCUUACCCCACCUCUCGGCUCACUGCAGGAGCGCCGGGUUUACAGAUGUGCACCACCAUGCCAGCCUUCCCUGGCUUCUGUGACUCUAACUCAGGUCCUCACACUUGUGCAGCAAGUGUUUUACACACUGAGCCCCCUCCCGAGCCCCUAAUUGCAUAGACAGUUGGUCAUUUCAUGAUCUAGAUCUGACCUUUACCUUUUCUUGACAUACAGGCAAUCAGUCCUUAUAGCACUGUUGGUGAAGGUUGGCGUUAUUUCUGAAAAGCAUACGUGGGAAUGGCAGAGCGCGGAAGCUGUGGCCAUGGGCCUGCAGGAUUUCAUAAUCUGCCUUGAAAUGUUCCUUGUGGCCAUUGCCCACUACCACAUAUUCUCCUACAAACCCUACAUGCAAGAGGAAAAGGAAGGCUCGUUAUUUGACUCUUUCCUGGCUAUGUGGGAUGUGUCAGAUAUCAGAGAUGAUAUUUCUGAACAAAUAAGACACAUGGGUAAGUAACAGCUAUCUAACUUCUGUUGGUGUGAGUGUAUAUAUAGGGGGUUGUCUGCGUGUGCAGGUACGGUCAGAGGUGAACCUCAGGUGUGGUCCCUCAGGAGCUGUUCAGCUUGGGUUUUGGAACAGGGCCUCUCACUGUCCUGGGGCUCACAGAUUGAUCUGGGAUCGCUGUCCAGAGGCCCCAGGAUCCAGCUCUGUCGCUAGCACAGGACUGCAAGCUGCCCAGCUUGGGACCUGUGCUGAGGACUGAACUCAGGUCCUCAUUCUUGUGUGGCAAGCACUUUGCAGACUGAGGUAUCACCCCAACCCAAAUACAUAAGAUUUACUCUAGUAAUUUAAGAAAUAAGAACAUACUUAAAGCAGUACCAUGAUACAGGCUCUUCAAAUCUGGGGAGAAUAAAGAGAGGAACUAUUUUUAGAAUGGUAAAAAUAACUUUUGGCUAAUAAAUUUAUAUUAUCUUAAAGG